AUGCAUGUCUAAGUAUAAACUUUUAUACGGUGAAACUGCGAAUGGCUCAUUAAAUCAGUUAUCGUCUAUUUGAUUGUGCCCUUACUACAUGGAUAACCGUAGUAAUUCUAGAGCUAAUACAUGCGAAAAGUCCCGACUUCGGAAGGGAUGUAUUUAUUAGAUUAAAAGCCAAUGCGUUUAACGACGCUUUUCGGUGAUUCAUAAUAACUGUUCGAAUCGCACGGCCCUCGUGCCGGCGAUGUUUCAUUCGAGUUUCUGCCCUAUCAACUUUCGAUGGUAAGGUAUUGGCUUACCAUGGUUACAACGGGUAACGGAGAAUUAGGGUUCGAUUCCGGAGAGGGAGCCCGAGAAACGGCUACCACA
rnacentral:rRNA from 3 species